rnacentral:lncRNA from 1 species
CAACUGCACGGCUACUUCUCCAUUUAGCCACUAUCCCAGAGAAUUCUGCCACCUUCCAGAGCCAACUGUUUUCCCCUUUCUCUGCGUUUGAUAGAAAAGAAAGAUAAGAAAUAAAUAGGGCUUAAUUUCCCAAACCAUUUAUGUAGUUUUUCCUCCUUUUCAGGACAGAGAAUAAAGGGUCCCUGUAUUCAUGCCUUCCUGGAAAUCUCAGUGCAAGGCCCUAUCAGGAGGUUUCCUGGAGCAGCUAAGGGAACAGCUAGACCACCCAGGAAGAAAUGACAGAAGCCUACCUGACUUCCAAUCUGCUUGCUUCAUGGUGUAAUGGGGGCCUAGACAGAAGCACCCCAAGGACACUUACAACAACUGUUCUGCCAGCUCUAGUCCAUUGGAGAAGAUGUGCCAACAUACCUUCUCACCAUCCCUAGAGCCCAACCUUGCUAUGGAAAGGUCAAACCCUUACCAUUGGCCCUGCCAAGGAUCCCCAGACAGAGAAGCACAAUGGAGGCCAUAAAUUAUGGCUUCUUAUCAUGGCCUCCACAUAACUUAAACUCUGGAUGGUGAAUGAAAUCUGGGGCCAAGUCUUAAAGGGUCAGGGUAGCCAAUGAGCAUAACUCAAUAUUUGUGUUUCUAAGAGAAAACCACAGAACCUCCAUAUCCAUGGCAAACUGGCCAGCCACAGGCUGGAUCCAGUGUGCAGUAGUGUUUUGUGUACACCAUUCACUAUUUGUCUACUUGGGUUAAAAAUGUUUUAUAUUAGUUAGCAAUGUUUAAACAUUGGGAGAAUUAAAGGGAAAUGAAAACGUACUUCCCACAAAUACUUGCACAUAAAUAUUCACAGCAGCAUUGUUUAUAAUUGCCCAAAACUAGAAACAACCCAAAUAUCCAUCAACUGAUGAAUGAUAAACAAGUUGUGGUAUAUUCAUCCAAUAAAACAAUAUUCAGCAAUAAAAAUAAACAAAUCAGGCACUUAAUAUAAUUGAAUAUCAAGGUCAUUAUGUUGAGUGAAAGAGGCCAGAAAAUAAAAGUAUACACUAUUUGAUUCCAUUUAUAUAAUAUUCUAGAAAAUGAAAACCAGUCUAUACUUACAGAAAACAAGGUGGUAGCUUACAGAGAUGGGGUAGAGGGAGGGAGAGAUGACAGAGAGGCAUAAAAAAACUUUCCGGACAAUGAAAAUGUUCUGUAUUUUAAUUGUGGUGAUGGUUUCAUGGAUGUACAAGUUCAUCAAAUCUCAUCAAGUUAAAUAUAUGCAUUUAUUUUAUAUUAAGUGUACCUCAAUAAAGCAGAAAAAUUUAAAAUUG